rnacentral:rRNA from 1 species
AUGACGUGUGGGCCGGCGCUGUGGCCACUUGGAUGGAAACGGCUGGGUCAUUUUCGACCGGGUGAGCCUUUCCUCGCGCGCCCCGCGUCGCGCGUCCCGUGGCUUGCCUGGGGCUCGAGGAGCCCAUUGGGCACGCCCGCAGCAACCCUAGCUUCCCAUCCACAGCCACGUCCUCCUCCCUCCUCCCUCUCACACCCCAUUCCUCUCUUCCUCCUCCCUCCUUCCUGGAUCCUGCCACCGCCACACCCACUCGUCUCCUCCUCUCUCCUUCCUGAUCUCUACGUCAGCCGCAACGCGAGAGGAGCAGCGGCGGCGGAGAUGCUCCCGGCCCCGCCUCUCNNNNNNNNNNNNNNNNNNNNNNNNNNNNNNNNNNNNNNNNNNNNNNNNNNNNNNNNNNNNNNNNNNNNNNNNNNNNNNNNNNNNNNNNNNNNNNNNNNNNNNNNNNNNNNNNNNNNNNNNNNNNNNNNNNNNNNNNNNNNNNNNNNNNNNNNNNNNNNNNNNNNNNNNNNNNNNNNNNNNNUGGGCGGGUGGGAACUGGGAAGGGGGCGAGCGGGACGGGCGGGGCGGCAGAUGGGGAGGCGGCUAGGGUUCUACCUGCUGCUGGCGGAAGUAGCAGGGUUUGAAGGAGCGGCAGAUGUGGGCAUGGUUGCGGUUGGGGAAGGCUCACCGGCUGGGGGACGGCGAGCAUCGGUGAGCGCAACGAAAGGAAGCCAGGCAUCGGCGUACGGCAACGAUUUUGGCGCCUGCGGCAUGACGGCGAGUCGCCGCCGAACGCUCAGCGAUGGGGCGAGUUGGUUAAGGUGUCAGUGGCGCCUUUGCUUGUCGCCAAGGAUGGCACGUGCGCGAUCUGAAGUACGACGUCGGCCAACUUCGGCCUCCGAGGCUUCCCUGACACCCUCCUCUACCACUACCUCAAUAAAAAGGUCUUCGAAGGAUUAGGGCUUAGGGCAACUCGAUGGCAGCCAGUCGGAGUUUGCUAAGUUGCAUAUGCAAGUCCUUUUGAAAUAUGAAACUUCUGUCUGGUGAUGAGCUUCUGCUCAUCUUGAUUGAUUCAUCUCCAGUGAAGGGGUGUGCCUUUUGAUGCAUUCAUUUUCUCUUUCAUACAUGGUGUUCAUCUUUGUUUUGGAGAACAACACCCUUGCUGAUGUUCAUCUUCUCUAUGUAUGCAGGGGGCUUGUCCUUCCAUGGUGCUCAGCCACGGACAGAUUUGGAGCGAAAAUAGGAGAUCCUGACAAAAAUGAGCAUGCUAGCGGUGGAUCCAAGGAUGCAUGGUGAUUGUGCCAGGUUUGUGCUCUGGCUCUUCUGUUGGGUACACAUGAAUCUAUGAUCCAGAUUCUAGCUACACCCUUUACUACAACAAUCUCAGGCUUUACUGAAAAGUGUACUGCUUAUAUAGUUGAUAUCUUUAAUUCAUAUGGUCGUCCGCUGGAUGAUCACUGGUCUUCGGUUCAUAUGGUCACUGGCUGGAAGCUUGCUGUUAUGUUUGCUUCAUAUGGUGGUCGACUGGAAGCUCGCGGUCUGAAUGAUCUCAUUGUCUAUGGCCGGCAAUACACACUUUUCAUUACUACCAGCCAAGUCUUCUCAGAGUGAUUGAAUAAAUUCCAUUCCUUUGUGCUGCAUUUUACCUUCCAUGGUUUUUGCUCAAAAUGGCAUAAUAUGCCACUUGCACCACCGUUGGUCUUUGAAAUUUAGUAACUCCAGUUUUUCAUAGAUAACAAUUGUGCAGUCUUUGUCCUUUCCACUUACCAUUACCAUUUUUGUGAUGAUACUUCACUAGAAAUUUGUUUGGUACUCAUCUAAAAAUAGAUUCAUAAUGAGGUCACUUUUGCAAUGCAUGUGAGUUAAGUUUUUUUUGCAUCUGCGGUUAUAUAUUGUAGAAUCAGGGGAGAGAGGGGUGGCGGCUGGGAUAGAAAGAUGGCCUGGUAUUGUAUUCUAUUGGAGUUAGAGUUUCCUGUACAAGGGGGCAGCACAUAUAUAGGCUGCAGGGUUACAUGGGCCACAUGGGCCAUAAGCGCGCGCGCACACACACACACACUGAAAUACAGAUAAGACACAGCCCAACACUCCCCCUCAAGAGGGAUGAUAGAUAUCUAUCAUGCCCAUCUUGUCACAAGCAAGAUUGCUCUCCCUGGUUCCCAAACCUUUUGUCAGACAAUCGGCGACUUGUUGUCCAGAGCUCACAUGAGUUAUCUUGAUGAUUCCUGCAUCCAGUUUCUCUUUGAUAAAGAAUCUGUCUAUCUCCACAUGUUUUGUUCUGUCAUGUUGCACUGGAUUAUUAGCAAUGCUGAUUGCAGAUUUGUUGUCACACCACACAUUCAGAGGAUCUUGUCUGAGCACUUUCAGCUCAAGCAGAAGGCCUCUUACCCAUAACAUCUCACUCAGCCCUUGAGACAUUGCCCUAUACUCAGCUUCUGCAGUUGAUUUUGACACCACCGGUUGUUUUUUGCUUCUCCAUGAUACCAAAUUUCCACCAACAAACACACAAUAGCUAGAGGUUGAUCGUCUAUCAUCAAGACAGCUAGCCCAAUCAGCAUCGCUAUAACCGUCAACAUUCAAAUGGCCAUUACUCUUGAACCAGAGUCCCAUACCAGGGCUGCCCUUUAGAUACCUCAUGAUUCUAUAGACUGCAUCAAGGUGUCCACUUCUGGGGUCAUGCAUAUAUCUACUUACUACACUUACUGCAUAUGUAAUAUCUGGUCUAGUGUGACACAAGUACAGAAGUUUGCCAACCAAUUGUUGAUAUUUUGCUUUGUUAACUUGUUCACCCAUCUGUGCUGUCAAUUUGUGAUUUUGUUCAAUGGGAGUUGGGGCUGCUCUACAUCCAAGCAUUCCCAUAUCACUUAGGAGCUCUAAGGUAUACUUCCGCUGAGACAGGGCUAUUCCCCUCUUUGAUCUUGCAACUUCGAUACCCAGGAAAUAUUUUAGCUGACCAAGAUCCUUAACUUCAAAUGCUUUGCCUAGGCAUUUCUUUAGUCUUCCAAUCUCCUCUUCAUUGUCUCCCGUUAUUAUGAUGUCAUCCACAUAUACUGCAAGAAUAGUAAUCUGUUGCUUGGAAUGUUUAUAGAAAACAGUGUGAUCUCCAUUGCAUUGUUUAUACUCCAUACUGCAAACUGCUUGCCUGAACCGGUCAAACCAAGCCCUUGGCGAUUGCUUCAAACCAUAGAGAGAUUUUCUCAAUCUACAAACCUUCCCAACAGUCCCAGGUGUAGAAAGUCCAGGAGGAAUUUCCAUGUAGACUUCCUCUUGUAGAUCUCCAUGUAAAAAGGCAUUUUUUACAUCAAGUUGGUGUAGUGGCCAUCCAAAGUUAGCUGCACAUGAGAUUAGAAUCCUCACUGUAUUCAUCUUUGCAACUGGGGCGAAUGUUUCGUCAUAAUCAAUACCAUACGUUUGGCUGUACCCUCUGGCUACCAGUCUUGCCUUGUAACGCUCAACCUUACCCUCAGGAUUCUGCUUCACUGUGAAGAUCCACUUACAACUGACUGCCUUCUUCCCAUAUGGAAGAUUCGCUAGCUCCCAUGUUUUGUUCUUUCUCAGGGCCUCCAACUCUUCCCUCAUGGCUUCACACCACUUUGGAUCUUGUCUUGCUUCUUUCGAGUCUUUAGGAACAAUCACGGCUUGAAGUGAUGCGACAAAUGCUCUAAAUGAAGGUGAUAGGGCUUCAUAGGUGACAUAAUUACUGAUGUCAUGCUCAAGAUUGCCCUUGCUCAAAGUUUUCCUUGCUACUUCCUUCUUGAGAGCAAUUGGCAGGUUAGGUGAUGCUUCUUCAGUACUUGAAUUUUCAUAUGACUCCACUUCAGAUGAGCUUCCUGUCGCUUGAGUUUCUUUUGACUGCUCCCCCUGUUCCAUAGUUUCUUUUGACUGCUCCUCAUGCACUUGUUCCUCCACAACUCUCUUCCUUCUUGUAUACACCUGAGGAUUCCUUUCCUCAUUUGGUCUCUGCCACCUCUGCUGUUCAGCCCCAUCAACUACAACUGGAAUGAAGGAUCCCACUAUUUUCGGGGUUGGUAUUGGCUGCUCCUUGUUGCCAUUGGUGCUGCACUCACCACUCAAGUUGCACCCCCCCUCUUGACCACCCUGCAUAGAUUGUGAGUGGUCAAGUUCUUCGAAUAAAGUGCUGAGAUCUGUCUUCUCACCAUAGAAAGGCUCAGAUUCUCGAAAGGUAACAUCCAUACUUACAAAUGUGCGCCUUUCAGCAGGACUCCAACACUUAUAGCCUCGCUGCCCUGCAGGAUAUCCAACAAAUAUGCAUUUUACAGCUCGUGGAUCCAGCUUUCCCACUGCUGGUCUGUGAUCUCUAACGAAGCAGGUGCACCCAAAUAACUUCGGAGGAACUGAGAAUUUGUUCUCCCCAAAUAGCAUCUCACAUGGGGACUUCAUACCAAGCAUUUUUGAAGGCAUCCGGUUGAUCAGGAACGUUGCAGUCAUGACAGCUUCACUCCACAAGAAUUUUGGCACAUUCAUGGUGAACAUAAGUGAUCGAGCCACUUCUAAAAUGUGUCGGUUUUUCCUUUCUGCAACACCAUUCUGAGCAGGGGUAUCUGGACAUGAUGUUUGGUGCAUUAUGCCUUGUGCUGACAGGAAACCUCCAAAUUGCUUGUUUACAUAUUCAGUUCCAUUGUCAGAUCUGAUCACCUGCACCUGCACAUUGAAUUGGUUUCGCACAUAGGCAUAAAACUCCUGAAAACAUUGGAAUACCUCAUCUUUAUGUCGCAUGAGGUACACCCAAGUCAUGCGAGUGUGGCAGUCUAUAAAUGUCACAAAAUAUUUCAUUCCACUAACAGAAACAACAGGACAUGUCCACACAUCAGAGUGAAUCAGCAUAAACGGGGAUAUACUCCUUAGCCCCUUACUCAAAUAUGAGAUUCUUGUGUGCUUUGCAUAUUCACAUGCAUCACACACAAGCUUACUCUUGUCUACUCCACGCAUUACAUCAGGAAACAUCUUACUCAUCUUAUCAAAAGCCAUAUGCCCCAUGCGACAGUGAUGGAUCAUCGCCAUUGUCUCACUUACUCCAACUAGUACAACCAAAAUAGGACUAGCACCAGACCUAGACACAUCACGAUCCAUAUACCACAAUCCACUAUGCCUGGUUCCUGUCCCAAGUUUCCUUCCAGUCAUCCUCUCCUGAAUCAAACAUAUUUUCUUAUCAAGAGUUAUUCGGCAAUCUAUCUGAUCAAUCAAAGCACUUAGAGAAAGCAAGUUCACAUGAAAAGCUGGAACAUGUAAUACAUCAGAUAAUUUAAUAGUGGUUGUACAUUGAACUGAUCCAACUCCUUUAAUCGGUUGUGAGGUGCCAUCAGCAGUUUGUAUUGUUUCACAAUGUGUAAUUGGGUACUGAGUAUAUGAUUCAAACUCAGUUGAGGUACCCACAACAUGCUUGGAUGCUCCAGAAUCUAAUAUCCAAUCUGGAAGGAAAUCAUGUGUGGAUAUAGAUGCAUUUGCAAAGUUACCUUCCCCUGUGUAGACAAAGUGGGCAAAGUUCCCGAAGGUGUUGUCCUCCUGGCUUCUACUCUUCGACUCCCCUUGAGAGGUUGUUGACGUCCCUUCUUCUUGCGUUGCCAAGUUAGCCAAGUUUGCUUUGAAGCCACUGGAAUAAUUCGAACCCCUCGAGUUACCUCUGCCUCUAACUCCCCGGUAUCCACCUCGGCUGUAACCUCUUCCCCUACCACGUAUUUCUCUGUGUUGUGCUGUGCAAUUGAUGCUUAUGUGACCUUUCUCUCCACAGUUGAAGCACUCUCUUGUCUCCUUCCAUUCAGACACAGUAAAUGCUGAGCGAGAUGCAUUCGCUUCUCCAGUCCCGGUCAACUUCAACCUGACCUCUUCCUGUGCCAUUGCUGCAACUGCCUCCUCAAGCGAGGGGAGCUUUGGCUGAUGAAACAACCCAGCACGCCUUCCUUCAAAUUCUGAACUAAGUCCCUUCAAGAAUUUCAUCACUCUCCUACGCUCUACCCACUUCUUAGUAGCAACUAUACAUUCUGAAUGUGGUAACUCCAGUGGAUCAUAGUGGUCUAAGUCAGCCCACAAAUGCUGCAAUUCUGCUACAUACUCCAUCACCGACUUAUCCCCUUGUUUUAGCUCAUUUACUCUAUCCUCAAUCUGCGCCAUAAGCAUUAUGUUCCCUUUCCCGGAGUACAAUGUUUCCAGGGUUUUCCAUACCUCUGCUGCAUGGGGAAGAGUCUCCACGGCUGCUGCAAUGGAUGGGGUCAAGGAGUUCAGCAGCCAUGCCACCACCAGAGAGUCAAUGACACUCCACUUCUUCCACUCUUCACUUGCCCUGUUCGCCGGUUCAUCUACUUCCCCUCUGACAUAGCCUUCCAGCCCCUUUGUCCUCAAUAUUAGCAAUGCCCUUCUGGACCAGCUUAGGUAGUUUGUGACCCCUUCCAUCUUGAUUUCAUUUGGCAUCAGUUCUAUUUUCUGUAUCACCUCAGGUUGAGGAACAAGCGCACCUGGGGAAGCCACACCCUCUGCCUUGACAGUGAUGAGCUCAGCUAGCUUCUCCAACGCCUUUACCAACCCCUGGUUGUCCCCCAUCUUUCCAAUCUUGAAUCACACCACUAGCAACCUCCAGCAACCAUUGCUCCCCACUUUCACCUCUCUACUACCUCCUCCCCUCAGAUCUGGGAUUCCACCUCUCCUUCUUCCACACAAGCCUUCUCCUCUCAGACAAUCGCCAGCAAGCACAACCAGCCAACCACCAUCACCACUGCUGGGAUUGGGAACCCAAGCUCUGAUACCAUGUAGAAUCAGGGGAGAGAGGGGUGGCGGCUGGGAUAGAAAGAUGGCCUGGUAUUGUAUUCUAUUGGAGUUAGAGUUUCCUGUACAAGGGGGCAGCACAUAUAUAGGCUGCAGGGUUACAUGGGCCACAUGGGACACAUGGGCCACAUGGGCCAUAAGCGCGCGCACACACACACACACUGAAAUACAGAUAAGACACAGCCUAACAUAUAUGUUUAGUCAUUUGUAUUGAAAAGUCAGUGCAUCUUGGUUGUUUUUGUUGUUGAUCCAGGAGGUUCUUGGUUGCUUGGUAUUUUUGCUACAUGUGCAGUACUAUAAUAUGCUAACCCAUAUAAACGAUGAAGUAUAUUCUGUUUCGUAGAUGAGCAAAGUUUGCUGCAUUCAUAGUAUAUAUGUUUUCUUAUAGAUAUAUGUAUGCCAUUAACUGCUAUCAUUGUGUUUUACAGGGGUUCACGGGCCAUCAUGAUGAUAUACUUGGUUCUUUAAAGAAGAAUGGUAAGAACUAACGAGGGUUGUCUUGUCCAAGAGCUCUGCCGCGAUGGCAUCGCCACUCAGUGAUGCCUCAGCAGGAAGGCUAAUCGCAGGGAGGUGCGACAUGGGUGGCCUAAAAAGCUAAUUUGGUGCCCUCUCUCUUUGCCUCUUGUUUCCUCCAGCACCUUGAUUUUGAUGGCUAAUAUAUUGACUUUCUAAACAUCUUUAAUUUAUAAGGAAUGUAGUAGUUAUAUGCUUUUCAUUUAUGAUAGAGAGAUUGAACCUAGGUGUCUUGCUUGCUGCUUUGAAAUAUAAGCAUGAUAUUUUUCUGCCGACUUUGUGGACAGGCUAACAAUGAAAAUUUUAUCUGUAAAAUAUGGUGAUCCCUAUAGUGCUAUUUCUGAAGCUUCGCUGUGCUUGCUUUCCCCCAACAAGCAGUAAUCCAAUCACGGGUGCAUCAGGUACUAUAUCAUGUGAGAAAAUCAAACUGCUCAUUCAUAAGACAGGAUUUCCGCUCACAUUUAUCAUGCUUUGACACUCACAAAAUAUCUUGUGAGCAUUAAUGCCCGCAAGCCCAACCUGAAGAGAGUAAGCAUCUCUUCUUAUUCUCCCUCUCCCUCAAUUUGCUUUUUUGAUUGUCUUGAUUUGGUAUUGUGAUAUGGUAGUUGUAUACUUCUGAGUGUUAUUCCAUUAUUAUAUCCUCUGAAAUGUUAAAACCUGACUAGAUCUGGAUAUUGUAUGUAUUAUUACGUCUACAUAUGGAGGAGCAGAGCAUUGCAUCGGACCUUUGCCUGUUGAUAUAUAGUACAUCGUCCUUCUCAAGCACAUCGGCUUAACAUACUGAUGCCACCCAUGGUGGCCUUGGGUUCUGAUUGAGGCAUCAGCCACGGACGUGGGAUUGCCAGUUCGUAGUUUUGUUCCACUGAAUUUUUCAUACUCGAGCUUUUGGGCCUACGCUACAACCAGCAGUAUCCAAGACAGGUGGCCGCCUUUUGUACCAUGUUCAAAAGGAAUUGGUGCUCUGAAAUUCAAUAAUUUUUUGCAGGUUUCCUCUCGGUUGCUCAUGUUCACAAUCACAGCAAGUAACCAUAUGGUUUUCCACAGGCAACUGCGCAACAUUAUUUUUCAGGAGGACAAGUAAUCAACUUAUUUCACAUUCAGUACACUACAAACAACUGCUGACACAAUGAGGUUCAACCAUGAUCGUAGCCACCGAUGUCUAAACGCUCUUAUAUUUCUUUACAAUGGAGUAUUUGAUAGUUCAUAGUUGAUAGCACUGAAUAAAGUAUUCCAGAAUAUUACUUAUGUAUCUUAUCACUUGCUCUCUGUUUUUUCCAGCGUGUAUCAGAUUGGUUAUUGUUGUUUCAAUACAGUUUGCGGUUUUAGUAUUUUUUUUAUCAUGCUGAAGCUUUAGUUAGAUUUUUUGUGGGAGUUUCAAGAGCAAUUUUUUUCUUUGCUUGCAGCCGCUAUUUUACUGUUCAACACUGGUAUAGUUGAAGAAUAAUAUUUAGAGAAGUCCCCCAUCAGCAUAUCUGAGCUUAGCCGAGACGACAUGCAUCUACGGGGAGAAUCACCAUGAUGGACUGCAUCUGCCCAGAUGAUCGUUGCGACGGCCACAACGAAGUGCAUCUCUCAAUUCCAGGAUCAACAUGCUGGACGAAUCCUCCUUUCAUGUUAAGUUGCAACAGUGCAAGCAAACACCAUGGAGGCUUCUGUAGUUAGGGACGGUGAAUCUGCAUCAACAGUGCUGGAUGGAAAUUGCUCGCCGUCCUUCCUCCAUAAACCACGUAGGGACCUUGUAUUAGCCUCCCCAUCUAUCCGUCAGGAAGCCCUGACUUUCCCUGCUAUUGCUGUCAAAAAUGCUACCCUUGUAGCACACGAACUGAACUUAAGUAUGUCACAUGGAGCUUCAGGUAACAAAUCUAAAAGAACCAAAAUUAAUGUAUGGCAUGUCUUUCGUCACAACGCCUCUCUCUUAUUUUGUAUGACCUGAUGUUCAAUGGAGUGUACCAACUACCAAGUGCUAAAAGCAUCAUUAUAGAUUAAUUAUGUACCAG